AUUAUUUGUUUUUAAUUAACUUUGGUUGAAUGUAUUUUCAAUCAACUGUAGGCAACUGUACUUUGUUCGCAAUAGUGUGAAACAACUGGCCCAUAUAAUCAGCCUCUUAGGUCAACAUCAGGUCAAUAAAUGGGCUCUCCAUGGGAGAGAUCCUUUCAAGUCAUCAAAAGGUUACACUAUCAUUAGCUCUCCAUGGGGUGUUAUUGUAGUGUUUGUAGCACAUUUGUUAACAGGUAUAAAGGUAUGUUCUCACAGACAGUACUUUGGGUUAAGAUUCUUUGAAGGAUGACAUGCUAACAUCACUGCUGAAGAACUGCUACACUGCUACCUUCAAUAAAUUCUUCUCCCCACAAGAA